ACAAGGCAUGGUGGAGUGAGCCUGUAGUCCCACCUACGCAGAAGCUGAGGCAGGGGGAUGGCUUGAGUCCAGGAGUUCUGGACUGUAGUGCACUAUGCUGGCCUGAACACAAUUCGGCAUUGAUAAUGGUGACCUCCUGGAGCAGGGACCACCAGGUUGCCUAAGAAGGUUGGCUGAACUGGCCCUAGUUGAAAUGGAGCAGGUCAAAAACUCCUGGGCUGAUCAGUAGUGAGAUUCCCCCUGUGAAUAGUCACUACCUUCCAUCUUCCAUAGAGAGACACUGUCUCU
rnacentral:SRP_RNA from 1 species